rnacentral:rRNA from 1 species
AGCAGCCGCGGUAAUUCCAGCUCCAAUAGCGUAUAUUAAAGUUGUUGCAGUUAAAAAGCUCGUAGUUGAAUUUCGGGAUCAAUAUGUCGGUCGUGCCUUCGGUACGUACUGGCAUCAUUGAUUUCUCCCUUCUGACGAACCAUGAUGUCAUUAAUUUGGUGUCAUGGGGAGUCAGGACUGUUACUUUGAAAAAAUUAGAGUGUUUAAAGCAGGCUCACGCUUGAAUACAUUAGCAUGGAAUAAUGAAAUAGGACGUUUGACCCUAUUUUGUUGGUUUCUAGGAUCAACGUAAUGAUUAAUAGGGAUAGUUGGGGGCAUUAGUAUUCAAUUGUCAGAGGUGAAAUUCUUGGAUUUAUUGAAGACUAACUACUGCGAAAGCAUUUAGCCAAGGAUGUUUUCAUUAAUCAAGAACGAAAGUUAGGGGAUCGAAGACGAUCAGAUACCGUCGUA